AAACCUCCUCCUGUCCACUGCACUGUACUUUCUUAAAUGCUGCAGUUCAGUGAAUUUAAGCAAAAUAGCUCCUCUAUUAAACCACUGUGGGGAAACACUAGUCAGUGAGGGAACUGGAGUCCUGAUCUCAUUACACAUUUUUCUAUUUACCAAUCUCUAUUGCAUGCUAUUUUUGUCUUUUAUUACUGCACUACUAAUGACAAGUAUGACUCCUUUAUGACAUACAGAUAUGUCAUAAAGGACAUAUAUUUCACUGAACAGUGAAAAAAAAGGGUCUGUCUUUACAGUUUACAUCUCUGUUAAAAUUACACCAGUUUGAAAUGUGGGACCUUAGUCAGAAGUAGGUAAUUGACUUUUGACUAUAUCUGUUUGUACUGAGUAGGACUUUAAGCUUUACAGCUUACAGGUACAGGACCACACCCUACGUUUGAAACAGAAGGUAAAAAAUGAAGUGAGAGUUAUGAUGGUCUGCUUUUACCUACCAGCACUCAUUACAUAUUCUCUGAAGAAGGGACAGCCAAACCAGAUGGGCAUGAUAUGAAGAUACGGAGUAAGUCCUGGAAAUAAAUUUUUGAAACUUGGACCAGUGCAAAAGUUUCCAAAGGCUCCAGCCACCAGCACCCCAUGAGGGUGAAAGCCAAGCAAGUAGUUGUGCUUUGGAUCCAAAUCUGAAGUCUUUAUUAGCUGAAAAAGAGAGACAGUGGAGGACAUUGUAAUACUUGUAUCACAGCUAUUCUGGAACACAACAAAGCACAGAGACUGCACGUUGACAUAUUGACAUUAGUGCAUGUCAGCGGUUAUUCAAGCUGUCUUUUAAAAUGUUUACAGUUCGGUGAGAAACCUUUUACCCACCUGAAUGGGGAAGUAUUCCCUGAAGUAAUUCCAAACAGUCCAGUUCCUGACCCACUGCGACCGCCUGCCCCCAGCGCGUGGCGUCUCCCAGUCAACGUACAGCCACACCAGGUACAGGACACCGAGGAACCAGAAGUUGCC